AUAGCGUAUAUUAAAGUUGUUGCAGUUAAAAAGCUCGUAGUUGAACUUCAGCCCUGGCCGGGCGGUCUGCCUCACGGUAUGUACUGUCUGGCUGGGGCUUACCUCUUGGUGAGCUCGCAUGUCGUUUACUCGGUGUGUGAGGGAACCAGGACUUUUACUUUGAGAAAAUUAGAGUGUUCAAAGCAGGCAAAUGCCCGAAUACAUUAGCAUGGAAUAAUGGAAUAGGACGUGCGGUUCUAUUUUGUUGGUUUCUAGAGUCGCCGUAAUGAUUAAUAGGGACAGUUGGGGGCAUUAGUAUUGAGUUGCUAGAGGUGAAAUUCUUGGAUUUACUCAAGACUAACUUCUG
rnacentral:rRNA from 1 species